AUGGCAAAUCGAUACGACCAGCUCCUGUCGAACUCCCCCAGGUCUGGAAAGAAGCAAGGGUAGACGGUUGUAGCGGUGCGAUAACGAUUUGCCUUUUU
rnacentral:SRP_RNA from 1 species